rnacentral:rRNA from 1 species
CCUACGGGUGGCAGCAGUGAGGAAUAUUGGUCAAUGGGCGCGAGCCUGAACCAGCCAAGUAGCGUGAAGGAUGACUGCCCUACGGGUUGUAAACUUCUUUUAUAAAGGAAUAAAGUGAGGCACGUGUGCCUUUUUGUAUGUACUUUAUGAAUAAGGAUCGGCUAACUCCGUGCCCGCAGCCGCGGUAAUACGGAGGAUCCGAGCGUUAACCGGAUUUAUUGGGUUUAAAGGGAGCGUAGAUGGGUUGUUAAGUCAGUUGUGAAAAGUUGCGGGUCAACCGUAAGAUUGCAAUUGAUACUGGCCGUCUUGAGUACAGUUGAGGUAGGCGGAAUUCGUGGUGUAGCGGUGAAAUGCUUAGAUAUCACGAAGAACUCCGAUUGCGAAGGCAGCUUACUAGCCUGCCACUGACAUUGAUGCUCGAAAGUGUGGGUAUCAAACAGGAUUAGAUACCCGAGUAGUC